UACGUAGGGUUCAAGCGUUAAUCGGAAUUACUGGGCGUAAAGCGUGCGCAGGCGGUUUUGUAAGUCUGUCGUGAAAGCCCCGGGCUCAACCUGGGAAUUGCGAUGGAGACUGCAAGGCUUGAAUCUGGCAGAGGGGGGUAGAAUUCCACGUGUAGCAGUGAAAUGCGUAGAGAUGUGGAGGAACACCGAUGGCGAAGGCAGCCCCCUGGGUCAAGAUUGACGCUCAUGCACGAAAGCGUGGGGAGCAAACAGG
rnacentral:rRNA from 1 species